UGGGGAAUAUUGCACAAUGGGGGGAAACCCUGAUGCAGCGACGCCGCGUGAGCGAAGAAGUAUCUCGGUAUGUAAAGCUCUAUCAGCAGGGGAGAAAAUGACGGUACCUGACUAAGAAGCCCCGGCUAACUACGUGCCAGCAGCCGCGGUAAUACGUAGGGGGCAAGCGUUAUCCGGAUUUACUGGGUGUAAAGGGUGCGUAGGCGGGUUUGCAAGUCAGGCGUGAAAUCCCGGGGCUUAACUCCGGGGCUGCGCUUGAAACUGUAGAUCUUGAGUGAAGUAGAGGCAAGCGGAAUUCCUAGUGUAGCGGUGAAAUGCGUAGAUAUUAGGAGGAACACCAGUGGCGAAGGCGGCUUGCUGGGCUUUAACUGACGCUGAGGCACGAAAGCAUGGGGAGCAAACAGGAUUAGAUACCCUGGUAGU
rnacentral:rRNA from 1 species